rnacentral:rRNA from 1 species
UAUGGUUAAGUGACUAAGCGUACACGGUGGAUGCCUUGGCAGUCAGAGGCGAUGAAAGGCGUAAUAACUUGCGAUAAGCCCAGAUUAGGUAGUAAUAACCUUUUGAGUCUGGGAUUCCUGAAUGGGGAAACCCACUUACAUAAGUAAGUAUCCUGUUGUGAAUACAUAGCAACAGGAGGCAAACCGGGGGAACUGAAACAUCUAAGUACCCCGAGGAAGAGAAAUCAACCGAGAUUCCGAAAGUAGCGGCGAGCGAAAUUGGAUUAGCCCUUAAGCUUUUAAUGAGACAGAUGAAGGCUCUGGAAAGUGCCGCAAUAAAGGGUGAUAGCCCCGUAAUCGACAUCUCAUCAUCAGUGAAAACGAGUAGGGCGGGACACGUGAUAUCCUGUCUGAAUAUGGGGGGACCAUCCUCCAAGGCUAAAUACUACUGACUGACCGAUAGUGAACCAGUACCGUGAGGGAAAGGCGAAAAGAACCCCUGUGAGGGGAGUGAAAUAGAACCUGAAACCGUGUACGUACAAGCAGUAGGAGCACCUUCGUGGUGUGACUGCGUACCUUUUGUAUAAUGGGUCAGCGACUUAAUUUUAGUAGCAAGGUUAACCGUUUAGGGGAGCCGUAGGGAAACCGAGUCUUAACUGGGCGUACAGUUGCUAGGAUUAGACCCGAAACCAGGUGAUCUAGCCAUGGGCAGGUUGAAGGUUGAGUAACAUCAACUGGAGGACCGAACCGACUAAUGUUGAAAAAUUAGCGGAUGACUUGUGGCUAGGGGUGAAAGGCCAAUCAAACCUGGAGAUAGCUGGUUCUCCCCGAAAGCUAUUUAGGUAGCGCCUCGGACGAAUACUACUGGGGGUAGAGCACUGUUAAGGCUAGGGGGUCAUCCCGACUUACCAACCCUUUGCAAACUCCGAAUACCAGUAAGUACUAUCCGGGAGACACACGGCGGGUGCUAACGUCCGUCGUGGAGAGGGAAACAACCCAGACCGCCAGCUAAGGUCCCAAAGUAUAGCUAAGUGGGAAACGAUGUGGGAAGGCUCAGACAGCCAGGAUGUUGGCUUAGAAGCAGCCAUCAUUUAAAGAAAGCGUAAUAGCUCACUGGUCGAGUCGGCCUGCGCGGAAGAUGUAACGGGGCUAAGCUAUACACCGAAGCUGCGGCUACGUACCUUAGGGUAUGUGGGGUAGGGGAGCGUUCUGUAAGCCGUUGAAGGUGGUCUGUAAGGGCUGCUGGAGGUAUCAGAAGUGCGAAUGCUGACAUGAGUAACGAUAAAGGGAGUGAAAAACUCCCUCGCCGGAAGACCAAGGGUUCCUGUCCAACGUUAAUCGGGGCAGGGUAAGUCGACUCCUAAGGCGAGGCCGAAAGGCGUAGUCGAUGGGAAAC